rnacentral:lncRNA from 1 species
AGAGGGUAAACAACUUUAUUAAAAGUUUCCGCCCAAAUUGUAUUAGUGAAGGGGCAUUUGAAGAAUAGGUUAUUGGAAUCUUCAAUGUUGGCAUUGCAAUUCUUACAAUUAGGGUUUAUGUCAAGGCCUUUCUUAGCAAGAUUUUGCUCUUUUGAAAGUUUAUCAUGAUGAAGGAGCCAUAUGAAAAUUUUAAUCCUUGGGGGGUGGGGAGGUGCCAGAUCCAGUUGAAGAAAGUGUGAGAAGUAAUCAAGUUGUUGGUGUUGUGGGUGAUCAAGUGUUGGUAUGCACUUUGGGAAGAGAAGUUUCCUUUACCAUUGGUAGCCUAGAAUGGGGUGUCUAAAGCUACUUUGU